AUGCACUGGAUCCACCAGAGACCCGGGCAGACGCUGGAAUACAUCGCCAGCAUCAACAGCAAUGGUUCCAGCAGCGGCUACGCACCAUCGGUCAAGGGCCGGGAGUGCGGGGGGGACCUCCAGACACCCGGGGGGUCCCUGCGCCUCCUCUACCGAGGGUCAGGGUUCGAUUUCGGGAGUUUCUCCAUGUACUGGAUCCGCCAGAGACCCAGGCAGGCUUUGGAAUACUUCGCAAGCAUCUACUACAGUGGUGCCAACACCUACUACGCGCCAUCGGUCAAGGGCCGGGUCACGAUUUCCAGGGACAACGGGCAGAGCUCUGUGACGCUGACCAUGAACAACCUCAAGGACGAGGAUUCCGCCGUUUAUUUCUGCGCCCAACCCUUCUCCUCCUCGCCCUUGGAGAGUUUGCCCAGAACCAUGCCCCAGUCCAACAACAAGCACUGA